rnacentral:lncRNA from 1 species
AAAGUAAUUAUGUUUUAUUUUAAUGAGACAUUAACUUUUCAAAGUUAAUUAUCUCUUAACCAAUAAACACAAUCCAUAUUCACAACCAUGUUGAUGAACAAAACCAAACUCUGCAAGAUAUUUAAAGAGGUUUAUUCUGAGCCAAUAUGAGUGACCAUGGCUGGGAGAACAAUCCCAAGAGGUCCUGAGAAAGUGUGGUCAGUUACAGCUUGGUUUUACACAUUUAGGGAGACAGAAGUUGCAGGCCAAGACAUAAAUCAGUAUGUUAGAGUAGGCAGUUAGGCAGAACUGAGCAGGGCAGGAGAGGGCCCCUAUCAGGUCGUCAGGCAACCAUCAGGUGAUGGUCAGGCAGUUGUUAAACUGUGUCGCUAAAAUGAUAAUUGGUUGCAGCUGGUUCCAGGGACCUGCAGUCUCCCAGUAGAUAGAAAAUACCUGGAGCUAGUGAUCAGCAGCUUCCUGAUAAGAUCUUUUCAAAAUCAAUAUUUCAUUUCAGCAUCUUGUUA